AUGCCUCAGAUUGGUAUGAAAUUCAAUUCCACAAAAGAGGCUUGGAACUUUUGGACAUGUUAUGGAGGUCAUAUUGGUUUUGAUGUAAGGAUAAAUUAUGAAAACAAGAGCAAACUCGAUGGAGUAAUCACUUCAGCCAGAUAUGUUUGUUCCAAUGAGGGCUACAGAAGAAAAGACAAAAGGGAUAAUAGUACAAAGCGUCCUCGUGCAGAAACAAGGACCGGCUGCAAUGUUCGAAUGGGAAUUACUAUAGACCGAGAAGCAGGAAAUUAUGAGGUGCAUGAGUUAGUUGUUGAACACAACCAUGUCUUGCAAUUACCUGGGACAAGCCACUUGAUGCCAUCACAGAGGAAGAUUUCGGCCUUGCAAGCAUUUGAAAUUGAAACAUCAGAUGAUUCAGGAAUUGUACCCAGAAAAGCCCAUGAGCUAGCAAGUCGACAAGUUGGUGGUCCACUGAACCUUGGCUACACAUGUCGUGAUCGCAAGAACCACUUGUGA
rnacentral:rRNA from 1 species